rnacentral:rRNA from 1 species
AUACGGGACUCAUCCGAGGCCCCGUAAUCGGAAUGACUACACUUUAAAUCCUUUAAGGAGUAUCAAUUGGAGGGCAAGUCUGGUGCCAGCAGCCGCGGUAAUUCCAGCUCCAAUAGCGUAUAUAAAAGUUGUUGCGGUUAAAAAGCUCGUAGUUGGAUCUGUGUCCCGCACCGUCGGUUCACCGCCCGACGGUGUCAAACUGACGCGAUGCGGGACGUCCUGCCGGUGGCGUGUCUAGCUGGCGGCUUUCGGGUCGUUGGGCGGCGCCGAUUCAAUCCUGUCGCGGUGCUCUUCAUUGAGUGUCGAGGUGGGCCGGCACUUUUACUUUGAACAAAUUAGAGUGCUUCAAGCAGGCUGGAUAUUGCCUGAAUGCUAGUGCAUGGAAUAAUGGAAUAGGACCUCGGUUCUAUUUUGUUGGUUUUCAGAACCAGAGGUAAUGAUUAAUGGAGACAGGCGGGGGCAUUCGUAUUGCGACGUUAGAGGUGAAAUUCUUGGAUCGUCGCAAGACGGACCGAAGCGAAAGCAUUUGCCAAGGAUGUUCUCGUUGAUCAAGAACGAAAGUUAGAGGUUCGAAGGCGAUCAGAUACCGCCCUAGUUCUAACCAUAAACGAUGUUGACUAGCCAUCCGAUAAAGGUUCUUUUUAUGCCUUAUCGGGCAGCUUCCGGGAAACCAAAGUUUUUGAAUUCCGGGGGAAGUAUGGUUGCAAAGCUGAAACUUAAAGGAAUUGACGGAAGGGCACCACCAGGAGUGGAGCCUGCGGCUUAAUUUGACCCAACACGGGAAACCUCACCAGGCCCGGACACUGGAAGGAUUGACAGAUUGAGAGCUCUUUCUUGAUUCAAUGGGUGGUGGUGCAUGGCCGUUCUUAGUUGGUGGAGUGAUUUGUCUGGUUAAUUCCGUUAACGAACGAGACCCCCGCCUGCUAAAUAGUGUCGGUAAUGCUUCUGCAUUGCCGUUUCUACUUCUUAGAGGGACUUUCGGUGACUAACCGAAGGAAGUUGGGGGCAAUAACAGGUCUGUGAUGCCCUUAGAUGUCCUGGGCUGCACGCGCGCUACACUGAUGCAUGCAACGAGUAACGACCUUUGCCGGAAGGCACGGGUAAUCUUUUGAACGUGCAUCGUGAUAGGGAUAGAUUAUUGCAAUUAUUAAUCUUGAACGAGGAAUUCCUAGUAAACGCGAGUCAUCAGCUCGCAUUGAUUACGUCCCUGCCCUUUGUACACACCGCCCGUCGC